rnacentral:rRNA from 1 species
CACGUAGGGCGCGAGCGUUGUCCGGAAUUAUUGGGCGUAAAGAGCUCGUAGGCGGCCUGUUGCGUCCGCUGUGAAAGCCCGGGGCUUAACCCCGGGUCGGCAGUGGAUACGGGCAGGCUAGAGGUAGGUAGGGGAGAAUGGAAUUCCCGGUGGUAGCGGUGAAAUGCGCAGAUAUCGGGAGGAACACCGGUGGCGAAGGCGGUUCUCUGGGCCUUACCUGACGCUGAGGAGCGAAAGCGUGGGGAGCGAACAGG